ACUCAAAGGAAUAGACGGGGACCCGCACAAGCGGUGGAUGAUGUGGUUUAAUUCGAUGCUACGCGAAGAACCUUACCAAGGCUUGACAUCCCAGGAAGGCGCUGGAAACAGUGCUGUGCCUUCGGGAACCUGGUGACAGGUGCUGCAUGGCCGUCGUCAGCUCGUGUCGUGAGAUGUUGGGUUAAGUCCCGCAACGAGCGCAACCCUUAUCGUCUGUUGAAUUUUUCAGGCGAGACUGCCCCGGCCAACGGGGAGGAAGGUGGGGUCGAAGUCAGGUCAGCAUGGCCCUUACGCCUUGGGCUACACACGUCAUACAAUGGCCGGUACAACGCGAAGCCAACCCGCGAGGGGGAGCUAAUCGUACCAAAACCGGUCCCAGUUCGGAUUGAAGGCUGCAACUCGCCUCCAUGAAGUUGGAAUCGCUAGUAACCGUGGGUCAGCAUACCACGGUGAAUACGUUCCCGGGUCUUGUACACACCGCCCGU
rnacentral:rRNA from 1 species